AAAAAAAAAAAAAAAAAACAACAAACGCGCGCUGAUUACCCGGCUGUUCCCCGGCCGCUACGAAACGGCAACCUUGAACUAUAAUUGCGUUGCGACGGACAACAGUGCGAUGAACCCGGGCGCGGGAGGAGCAGUCGGAUUUCGCCAAACCCGAACGCUACGCGCGGCGGCCGGUAAACGGCGUCACGGACAACAAUGUGUUGUUUUUUUUUUUUUUUUUUUUUCUUUACUUUUCGCACGGUACACGCAAUUUUCGGGCGGGGUCGCGUGUGAUCGGUCCGCGACGAACGCCCCCGGCGCCGUUUUUCGAAUGUUUCCCUUUUUCCCCUGUUUUUCGCCCGGAAAUCGCGUGAAUCGGCGUAAACGCGUAUCGCCUCCCGCUCCCUUCCACCCAUCGGAUCGGAAUAAAACACCCCGAAACCGUGACGACGGGAAAAAAACACCCACGACAAAAAGGGGCUCUUAUCCCCCCCCCCGGCUCUCACCGCCCCGUUAUCGGAACGGUAUGACGACUGUACAACGACGAAUGGCCGAUUAUUGCGCGCGGCUGUGCAACGUUCCGAAGUCAAUGUCCAGGAUACGGGGACAGCGUGAGAGGGGGGGGAGGAGGGCUCCCGAUAUUUCCGAUCGAGGUGCGCGACGGUUGUCGGUCAACAUAUUGUAACGAUACGUACGCACGUCGAUCGUAAAAUUGACGUUAAUAAAAAACGACGCGCCCGAUCCGCGACGGACGCAUAAUUCGGGUGAAUUUUGAAAAAAAAAAAUAGCGCGUUAAUCGGCCGAAAAAAUCGACACCCCGCGCGAAACGCUUUUCUAUUUUCGACGCGGUCACGCGCGACGACUUAUUAAUUAUGUUCGUAUUACAACUGUUACCGGCGCAUUUAUAUUCGUCGAUUCGUUCGACUUUUAGCGAACCCCGCGGAUUCCCCUAUAUGCCAUACGGGAAGAGUGGGAUGGGGGGGGGGCUGAGGGCGAAACGGCGUACAAUAUAUUAAUGACGGGUGCCGUCUCGUAAAGACCACAACCGACAAACAACCGUCAAAUGCACAAAUGAUUAUUGAUCAGAAUGGCGGAUUCGCGACGACAAGCAACGACAAACCAUUGCUCAAGGAAAAACAAUACAUGCGUCGUUUUAUAGGAAAAUAAUUCAAUAGGCUUUAUAUAUUUUCUUUAGUAAUAUUUAUUUUAAUUUUGUAUCGAUUUUCCCAAUUUUCCUACAUUUUUCCCGGUUUUUCACAUUUGUUUAAUUUGCAAAAAAUGACCUCUCCAAAGUACCUCUCCAGUGAAAUUUCCUUUUAGAAACAUUACUAUCAUUAAAAGUUAGAGCAAAAUUGCUGGUAGAAAAGUCGUGCACAGAAAAAAAAAAUAGUAAUAUUUCGGUACGUGAUAUAUUUCGUACAUUUUCCUGGUUUUUUCGGUUUUUCAAAUUUAAUAAGAAGUCUCUCGAAAAAAUCGAAAAAUGACAUUUUUCAAGUACAUCCCCACACCGAUUUCCUUUCAGAAAAUGUGCUACGCUUAGAAAUCCGAGCAAGUCUUCUGGUAGAAAAGUUGUUAACAGAUAAAAAAAAAAAUCAAAAAAUUAAAAAAAAAAAACAUCUUUGUAUAAAACCAUAAACUUUUUCGUUCCACUCGGAACCAGAAAAAAAAUUCAAAACACAACACAUUUGCGGGCAAUCGCGGAAAUCUUUUGGUACCUAAUCUUGACGGGAAAACUUGUUGGAAAUUUUGGUAAUCUUCGGAAAAACCGUAUAGUAUUCCGGGAUCCGACGUACGCAAUAGUAAUCGGUGGUUUUCCCUCCGGUUAUU